CAGUCGCCGCGGUAAUACGGAGGGUGCAAGCGUUAAUCGGAAUUACUGGGCGUAAAGCGCACGCAGGCGGUUUGUUAAGUCAGAUGUGAAAUCCCCGAGCUUAACUUGGGAACUGCAUUUGAAACUGGCAAGCUAGAGUCUUGUAGAGGGGGGUAGAAUUCCAGGUGUAGCGGUGAAAUGCGUAGAGAUCUGGAGGAAUACCGGUGGCGAAGGCGGCCCCCUGGACAAAGACUGACGCUCAGGUGCGAAAGCGUGGGGAGCAAACAGGAUUAGAGACCCGUGUAGUCCCUGUCUCUUAUAA
rnacentral:rRNA from 1 species